UGCAGUCGAACGAUGAUCCCAGCUUGCUGGGGGAUUAGUGGCGAACGGGUGAGUAACACGUGAGUAACCUGCCCUUGACUCUGGGAUAAGCCUGGGAAACUGGGUCUAAUACCGGAUACGACCAUCUGGCGCAUGUCAUGGUGGUGGAAAGCUUUUGUGGUUUUGGAUGGACUCGCGGCCUAUCAGCUUGUUGGUGGGGUAAUGGCCUACCAAGGCGACGACGGGUAGCCGGCCUGAGAGGGUGACCGGCCACACUGGGACUGAGACACGGCCCAGACUCCUGCGGGAGGCAGCAGUGGGGAAUAUUGCACAAUGGGCGCAAGCCUGAUGCAGCGACGCCGCGUGAGGGAUGACGGCCUUCGGGUUGUAAACCUCUUUCAGUAGGGAAGAAGCGUAAGUGACGGUACCUGCAGAAGAAGCGCCGGCUAACUACGUGCCAGCAGCCGCGGUAAUACGUAGGGCGCAAGCGUUAUCCGGAAUUAUUGGGCGUAAAGAGCUCGUA
rnacentral:rRNA from 1 species